rnacentral:lncRNA from 1 species
AAAGAAUUGAACCUGCUUUAUGUGCAGUGACUACGUAUCACACAGUUAGUAGGGGGCAGAGCCAAGAUUUGGCGUUUUUUUUUUUUUUUUUUUUUGACUCUGCAGUUUAUUUUUCAUGAUGCACAAAUAACUGUAGUGCAAAAACAAAUAAUAUAGAAAGUCUUUUUACAAAAGCUGGCCAUCAUUACAAUUGGGUCCUCUGUCUCUGCAGGAUGGGUGGUUCCACAGCACUGUGUCGGAUUGGCUGAGAGUGCUGGGACAUGGUCUCACCUGUGUUGCUGUGUUGCUCAGGCUGGUGUCAAACUCCUGAGCUCAAGCGAUCUUCCUGCCUCUGCCUCCAAAAGUGCUGGGAUUACAGGUGUGAGCCACUAUGCCUGACUUUAGUACAGUAUUUUCCAAAAUUUUUUUUGUCUGGUGACAUACCUUAAUAUCUCUUAAGAAUAGAGUAUCACAGAUAUCUUUUGGAAACCCUGGGUUCAAUGAUCUCUAAGACCCUUUCCAGUUAGCAUUCAAUUAUACUAGUAACUCUGUUUUUGUUAUUUAUUGUAUUUUGUCAAUAAGGAAGUUUUUUUGUUGAUUUCCGGUAAUUUCUCAGUUGAAAUAAUUUAGCUGCCUAGGGAUUCAUUAGAAUGAGUCAUUGGUCCUCCUGCCCCAUGUAAGGUACUUUCCAGUUUUAAAGUUUAUGAUUCUAAGAUUCUAAUUUGAGAUCAGCGACAAGUCUUCUUAUAAGAAAAAUUAAUUGUAUUCUUUUUUUUUUUUUUAGACAUAGUCUCACUCUGUCACCCAGCCUGGAGUGCAGUGGUGCGAUCUCGGCUCACUGCAAGCUCCGCCUCCUGAGUUCAAGUGAUUGUCCUGCCUCAGCCUCCCGAGUAGCUGGGACUACAGGCACCCGCCACCGUGCCCGACUGAUUUUUUGUAUUUUUAGUGGAGACGGGGUUUCACCGAGUUAGCCAGGAUGGUCUCGAUCUCCUGACCCGUGAUCCGCCCGCCUCGGCCUCCCAAAGUGCUGGGAUUACAGGCGUGAGCCACUGUGCCCGGCCAAUUAAUUGUAUUUUUUGCCUUCUAGAAAACCUUAUGUUGCUUCAUAUUCUUGUUAACCUGCAAAAUUUUUUUUCCAAAUUCUCAUUUUAAAAGAAUAAUAGAUUUAUCUAUAAGCAACAGAGACAUUUUGUACCCUCAUGGUUAGUAGUUUUAAUUUUUCGGAAAAAUCAUGUUACUCAUUACGUAAUAUCUGUAACUAAAUUUUAAACUAUGGAUUGGUACAAGUUUACACAGGCAUUAAAAUUUCCGAUUAUUCCUUAGGACAUUACAUAGGAGUAUAUGUGUUGUUGAUUUUGUUAUUAAAACACUUUCUUUCAUUAACAAUGUACCUCUUCUGUUCAGAAAAAUGAAAAGGAAAGAGUACAUGACCACAUCUUUAAAUAGAUGUUCAAGUUCAUUUAAAAAGAUUAUUUUUUAUUUAAAACAUUACAACCUCAUCACCUGCAGACUAUUUCUUUCAUCAAAGUGGCUUAAGAUGUAUUGCAUUUUGAUAAAAAACUGCUUCCAAUGGCUACAGCAUCAAAAAGUAAAUACUAUGUAUUUUAUUUACCAUGAAAAAGGUAGUGAAAGUUUCCCCAGUUUCUUAAUCUGUAAUUGGUCACUCUUUCUGUAGAGAGAUAUUGAGGAUGGUAAAAUACUCCCAGUACCCACAAGGUGGCAUGGCCUUCUUGUUCAAUCCAGUUUCAUUUAUUAUUUCUGCUUUAUCUGCUACUAUAUUUUAGAUUCUGCUCUUUUAUUAAAGUUUUGAAUUUCACUUUAUGGUUUUAUUUUUCUUCACUUGCAGCCAAUGGACAGUACUGGAAUUUCUAGACAGAAAUAUAUUUUUUAAAGAAAUAUUAAAGUAAAACUCUUCUACAUCUUCUAUUGUUUCAGUCCACUUUGGAGCUGACUUUAAAUUAUUUGACUGUGUAUGAAGCCUAGUGAUUAUAAACUGCCUAAUAAACACUAGAUACUCAAUAAAUAUUUGCUGUGGAAUUUCAUGAGUUGUCUUACUGAAAAAAAGGUAUUAAAAUACUCA